UACGUAGGGUGCGAGCGUUUGUCCGGAAUUACUGGGCGUAAAGAGCUCGUAGGUGGUUUGUCGCGUUGUUCGUGAAAACCGGGGGCUUAACCCUCGGCGUGCGGGCCGAUACGGGCAGACUUGAGUACUGCAGGGGAGACUGGGAAUUCCUGGUGUAGCGGUGGAAUGCGCAGAUAUCAGGAGGAACACCGGUGGCGAAGGCGGGUCUCUGGGCAGUAACUGACGCUGGAGGAGCGAAAGCGUGGGGAGCGAACAGG
rnacentral:rRNA from 1 species